AUGAACGCUGGCGGCGUGCCUCAUACAUGCAAGUCGAGCGAACGGACGAGAAGCUUGCUUCUCUGAUGUUAGCGGCGGACGGGUGAGUAACACGUGGAUAACCUACCUAUAAGACUGGGAUAACUUCGGGAAACCGGAGCUAAUACCGGAUGAUAUUUUGAACCGCAUGGUUCAAAAGUGAAAGACGGUCUUGCUGUCACUUAUAGAUGGAUCCGCGCUGCAUUAGCUAGUUGGUAAGGUAAUGGCUUACCAAGGCAACGAUGCAUAGCCGACCUGAGAGGGUGAUCGGCCACACUGGAACUGAGACACGGUCCAGACUCCUACGGGAGGCAGCAGUAGGGAAUCUUCCGCAAUGGGCGAAAGCCUGACGGAGCAACGCCGCGUGAGUGAUGAAGGUCUUCGGAUCGUAAAACUCUGUUAUUAGGGAAGAACAUAUGUGUAAGUAACUGUGCACAUCUUGACGGUACCUAAUCAGAAAGCCACGGCUAACUACGUG
rnacentral:rRNA from 1 species